UCCUUUCUUCUUCCCUCAGCCCUCACCCCUCUGACGCCCCUCAGCCCUUGCCCCUCAGCCCUUGCCCCUCUGACGUCCUUUAAGUAAUCUCUCUCUCGUCCCUCUCACGCUCCUUAAACUUUUGCCUCUCGUCCCUCUCACGCUCCUUAAACUUUUGCCUCUCGUCCCUCUCCCGCCCCUCAAGCUUCUCUCUCAUCCCUCCCUCAUCUCCCUGGCUUCUCUCUCGUCGCUCGCUCGUCCCUAAGGCUUCUCUCUCGUCCAUCUCUCGACCCUCAAUCUUCUCUCUCGUCCAUCUCUCGACCCUCAAUCUUCUCUCUCGUCUACCUUCUCUUCACUCGUCAAUUUUCUCAUCUCGUUAUUCCUCCGCGAUGGAGAAAGGUUGGCGACAAUGAUCCAGGAAAAUUAGAUUGUGCUAUGUUGAUUAUAAACAAUUGGUGGUAGAGAAUAUGUAGUCUCAAGAGAUGAUUUCAAUUCUUGAUGGUGGCUGAGAAUAUGCAGUCUCAUGGAUCCCCUCAACUUCAUAUGUUAAUUUUGAAGGUGAUUUGGAAGUAAGUAUCUCUUUUGAGAAUGUUGGGGAUGAAUUUGCAAAAAAUAUUAUUGGUAAAUAAUAAAUUGUAUUUGUUGCGAUGUUGUAGUAUUUUUCCUAUGAUAUAAUAUACAUUUGUUAACAAGUGAGUCUAAUGUGAACAGUUAUGCAAAAUCAACAUCAAAUAUAAUUACGAGAAUGAAAGAUAAAUCGAAGAAGCGAGUUAAAAGUGUAGUCAAUCAAAGUUCGUUUGUGAACUCGAAUGAAAAGAAGAAAAAAAAUAAGGCUUUGUAAAGUGUGUUGUUGGCAUAUUUUGUGUUGGUUGAACAUUUUAUAUAACGAUGUAGUUGAUGGCGUUUGAACCACA